UGUGAGAGGCUUUUUCUCUGCUACAAGUA
rnacentral:piRNA from 1 species